ACACACGAGGAUCAGGCGGAGCUAAAUUAAAUUUUUUUCUCACAAAAUUAUAAGCUUUUGCCGAAUAGAAAUGGAGUGUCAAAGUAAAAGAACGAAGUAUAUUGAAACGUUAACAAAAAAUACGUUUUACAUAUAAUUGACCGCUCACCAAGAUUCAAUAAUAUAUUAUCCACGAGGUCGAGAAUUCUUACCCUUCAUAUUAAAAUUGGAUUACUUCUGAGAACAUGGGCUAUAUUCACAACAUCGAGCUUUCACAUGGGAAAGCGACAGCUGACUACCUACGUCGUUGGAUCCGCACAGCUGAAAAAAUGUCGAGGAUGAAGAACCACAGGAUCUUUCUACUUCGAUACGAUAGACCUACCUGUCAAGUUUGUGGGAAAAAAUUCAAAAGACUUGCAAAUAGUCUUUGAUUCGGGAAAAGAUAGGAUCCCCAUGGGCAAACGAUCCAAUGUUGUGUACAAAAUACCUUACAAUGAUUGCAAUCAAGUUUAUAUCGGACAAACUGGCCGCCAUCUAAACACCAGAAUUAAAGAACAUCAACGCAAUGUACAUGAGAAUGAAGAACGUCACACUGCUCUAACAAAACAUGUGACCAAUAAACAACAUACUUUUAGCUAUGACAAUACAAACAUCCUCUGUGAAGAACCUAAUUAUUAUAAAAGGUUAUUACUAGAAAUGUGCAAUAUUGUAGGACACACUAAUUCCGUUAACCUUAGACAAGAUGUUGAACAUCUUAGCAAUAUUUACAAACAGCUAAUCUCCGCCCACAUAUCACACAUUGUUUAACCUUAACUAUACACAUAAAAUUAUUGUACCCAUGGCACAGUUUUUUUACAUAAUUUUUUUUUUUUGUUUUUUUUAUAUAUGUUUAUAUCUGGUUCACCUUCACUCUGGAUCAUAUUUGUUUCUCCCAUCACUCGUUAUUCACCAGUUGACCCAAUCGGUUCAACAAAAUUUUUGUUUGACAUGGAGAACAGGGUCAUAAAGAUCCCAAUACCACUUUCUUGGACAUUGCGUAAACUAAUUUAACUGCUAUAAAAACUUUUCUUUAAAACUUUUUAAUACAUUGACAUAUAGACAGUGAUGAUACAUAGUUUUUUUAAUUAAUUACCUCCAAUUUGUAACUCCUACACUUUAAACAACCGGAGGAGCCGACAAUGACUACCGUUACUCGAAGAACUUUGGCUCGACAAAUUGUA
rnacentral:lncRNA from 1 species